AACAAGUAGAGAGGAAAAAGGAUAUGCAUAAUGUACUGAAACUAUAAGCGGGAAUUAAAUUACAAAGGCGGGAUGUCAAAUAUUGGUUUUUUGUCUCAUUACUCGACAUCUCCAAACAUCAAAAACAAAACCCUUAUGCUUUUCAGUUCUCAGUUUCUCACCAUCGAUCCUCCUCUCUCCUCCUCUCUCCUCCUCACUCGUCACCAACGACCUUCCUCUCUUUCUGAAGCCGGACCACUGUUGCCGCCUAUGCUGCCUAAUGGCCACAAAAUUUAAUCUCUCAAAUCCGUCCUUAAUUCGCAUAUGAUAAAGGAAUUUUCAGAGGUUAGCACUAUCAAAAUCAAUUUAGGGUUUUUUGAUUUCGUGGUUUAAGGGCUUGAAUCAAAACAAAAACAGUUGAGGAGCUCCUGACAUACUUCUUCCCCAAAUCCCUUGAUGAACUUGGAGUUGAUUAUUUCAAACUUGGAUGAAUGGCAUGAAGAUGGCGAUUAUAUAUUACGAGGGAAAUGUAUCAUAUUCUAUGAAUGAUUUUCUUUAUGAAUUCAUGAAGCUUUAUUGAAGUGUCUAAUCUUAUGAACAUGGUCUUGCCGAUUUAGAUUUUUAUUUGAUCAAGAUUGUUAUGUACUUCUUGUUAGUUUUGAUUUCUAUUGUAGAUGUAAUCAUAUAACUGUUUCAUUUAAUAAAAUUCAAUUUUACAUUGAUAAAAAUGCUUUAGCAAAACGCCUACUGUUAGGAGUUGAGACUAUUCUGAGUUAUCUGAUAUUAUGGGCUCUUUAAUUUGUUGUAAAGUGCAUAAAUAGAAUAGAACCCUCGAUUUCUAUUCUUUCACAUUUAUCUUUGACAUAUAUAUAAGUCACAGAUCUCCCUUAUAAAAUAAAAUAAUUUAUGAUAGGUAAUAAGUAGUCAUCGGGAUGUUAGGAUGUAUCAGCUAAAGUUAAGUCGAAUCAGAGCAAAUUUAUUAAUUAAAUUAAUUGUGAAUAUCGUUUGAUUAUCCCUUAUGAAUUAAAUUUAUUUCAUCCUAUCGAAAAAAAAAAUAGUCAUAGGGUGAGAAGCAUUGGACCAAAUGGAAUAAUCUGGCUAGUCUGUAUGAAAGGGUAAGAGAUCCAAACUGAAUAGGUGGGGACGCUAGUGGGCUUGUCACGCUAUGAUUUAGUUGGGCCUUGGGGGGUAUCGGGCUAGUGAUCAGGAGACUGGCGGGAAUAAAAUGUGGGCUUGUAGGGAGCUUGGGAAGCGGGCUCUUGGGCUUAAAUACGUGCACAGGGUUCACAUUAAUAAUAAUCCACAUGUUCAAUAUAGAACGGCCUCGGCAGUUGGCAUAUCAUGUGCUGGCACUGGCUUAAGAGAGUCAAUAUCUUUGCUAGUGCCUUUAACAUUGGAUGUAGGUGAUUAUUUGGUAGGCGUGGUGCCCUGAUUUCCAUGGCCAUGGUCUGGUUCAGAUUAUUGAAGCUAUGGAUUCUCAGUUUGGAACAUUCAGGUAAUAUUUGUAUCUAUCAUCUCCUUUGUGUUCUUCUCUUCUAUCUUGCAAAAUGAUUAAAAUUUCUUAAAGACUACGUAGGCGAAUUUAAAUAUAUGUAUGUCUUCGACAUCAUGUGAUUGCAUCAAUUCUCUGUUUCUGGUCUGUACCGAAUGCUACUACUCCUCGAGGUUUAUAUAUCUUAUGGUCGGGUAUCUUGGAUCGCUUGCUUACUAAGGACAGGUUGUCUUGUUGAGGAUGUGCUUUUGACUCUCCAUGUGUCUUCUGCAAAGCUGCUGGUGAGUCAAGACAACACCUUUUCUUUGAAUACCAUUACUCAGUUGCUGUGUGGAAUUCUUUGUUGCACUCGCUGAAGUGUCAAAGAGCUGAUGCUGGUUUUGAUGCAGAAAGUAGUAAUGUCAAAUUGUCAACCAGAUGUUUCGAAGGAAAUCUACUUGGGCUGAACUUUUAGUUGCUACGUUUGCUGAAUUUGUCUAUUGUAUUUGGACAGCUAGGUUAGGAUCGUCUUUGAUAAUAUUACUAGGUCCCCUGGUUGUGUGUUUAGAGACUGUUUUUAGGUUGCUUGUUAAGUCUCUGAGGAUUUAAACCAAAAUCUUUUCUUGUAAUUAGUUGCUUAUGCUGCAACUACUACUCCUUGAUUGGGGUUGUGUGAUAUUGACCUAUGUUAGUUUGUCGCAGCAAGUUGACGUUUGGUUCUAAUGGUGUUUUUAGAGCCUAAUGGAAUAUUGGAAUUUCAUCUUUAUUGGGCAAACAAAAAAAAAAGGAGAAAAUAACAUGCCAAUGUAUAGUCCAUAGCUAAUUAGCAACUAA